rnacentral:rRNA from 1 species
GGGCCCGCACAAGCGGUGGAGCAUGUGGUUUAAUUCGAUGCAACGCGAAGAACCUUACCUACUCUUGACAUCCACGGAACUUAGCAGAGAUGCUUUGGUGCCUUCGGGAACCGUGAGACAGGUGCUGCAUGGCUGUCGUCAGCUCGUGUUGUGAAAUGUUGGGUUAAGUCCCGCAACGAGCGCAACCCCUAUUGUUAGUUGCCAUCAUUAAGUUGGGCACUCUAACGAGACUGCCGGUGAUAAACCGGAGGAAGGUGGGG